AUGUGUGGAUUUUCAUUAACGUGUAGCUUUCUUGCUACAAAAGUUUGAGUUAGGUAAAAACAACUCAAAAAUGCAUGGAUAUUUUUAAGAGUGCGCAAGAGCUGUCAUUGGUGUUUGUAUCGUUUUUUACGUGCCACCACCGUCGGUCCAGUGAGAAACUGUGAAAAAGGUGGUUUUCCAGGUUUUCCCUAUAGGCAAGUGAUCUGCUUUGGAGUUCUCGAUUGCGUCGGCCACUCGUGCGGAAUGAUGGUGGUCUUUGGUAUUCGAGAUGACAAAUGGUCAAGGGUUGGUACAAUUGCGAUUAUCUUCCUGCCGGACGAUCUUCGGUUUCAACGUACAUUCGCCGUUAUUUCGUCAUCCAACUCCUUGCCCUUGCUACGAGUACGGCUUUGCGGCCUACAACGGCUAUUUGCUUGAAUCGCUGGCCGGUGAAGCUGUUGUCGUAUCGUCAGCUGCAUUCAGUCAGGGUCCGAAAAACGAAUGAAAACUCCAAAUAGUUUACGGGCUAUAUGGCAACAUCGCUACCAGAUUCAAGGUCAAGCACAAACGGAUAUGUAUUUUUGGCGUCAGAGAAAUCAUCGGAAUCUGAAUCUACGAAUAAAAAUGCGACAAGUGCUCCUUCGAUCGUUGGCCCAUGAUGUCUUUGGAGAGAUCCACACCGAAUUCUGAUAACUUCUGCUCCAAUAAUUUUGUUCAGCAUUCAACGAUCCUCGAAUUUGCACGAGUCCCAAAUUCCAC